GAUGAACGCUAGCGGCAGGCCUAAUACAUGCAAGUCGAACGAGAUUAAGAGGCUUGCUUCUUAUGAAAGUGGCGCACGGGUGCGUAACGCGUAUGCAACCUACCUUAAUCAGGGGGAUAGCCCGAAGAAAUUCGGAUUAAGACCGCAUAAAAACACAGGAUAGCAUUAUCCAAUGUUCAAAUAUUUAUAGGAUUAAGAUGGGCAUGCGUGUCAUUAGCUAGUUGGCGGGGUAACGGCCCACCAAGGCGACGAUGACUAGGGGAUCUGAGAGGAUGACCCCCCACACUGGUACUGAGACACGGACCAGACUCCUACGGGAGGCAGCAGUAAGGAAUAUUGGUCAAUGGAGGGAACUCUGAACCAGCCAUGCCGCGUGCAGGAAGACAGCCCUCUGGGUCGUAAACUGCUUUUAUUCGGGAAUAAACCUUUCUACGUGUAGGAAGCUGAAUGUACCAAAGGAAUAAGAAUCGGCUAACUCCGUG
rnacentral:rRNA from 1 species